AAGCUGCAUGAGGGCAGAGAUUUAUUUUGCUCCCUGAUAUCUCCAAGCACCUUGGACAGAGACUAACACAAAGAAAGUGUUGGAUAAAUAUUUAUUAUAUGAAUGAAGAUUCUCAUCCACCAACAUUCACAAUUCAAAGAUGUUCAGAAGUUUUUGUGCGUGCUGAAUAUUCACAUUGAUAUUUUUUAAAUCAAGUGACCUCAAUUGUUAUGUAUUUUAAAAUUCCUUCCAAAGGUGAAGAAUCUCAAUGCCAGCUGCAAUGAUACUACCAGUUCACUGAGGAUAUUUCUGCUGUUAGUAAUUCCCCCCUCCACUAGGAUCAUCACUACCUUUAAGGCAGAGCCAAGAGGCUUAUGGUACCAGAGGACCAUGCCUGGAAGAUAGAAAUCUAAGGGUAAGAAAGAAAGGGGAUACAAUGUGAGAGAAGUUUCUACUCUAUAGAAAGGAUGAAGAGGAAGAGAAGGAAGAAGAAAAGGAGAAGGAGGAAAAAGAGUAAAAAACAUGUGGAAUAUAAGUAGUGAAAAGGACUCUAAGGGAAAGGAGGAAAACUGAGUGGGAAAAAAUUAGAGAGGAAUACAAACCAUGAGAGACUCCUAACUCUGGGAAACAAAGGCUUGCAGAAGGGGAGGAGGAUGGGGGAGAUGCGGUAAUGGUGACAGGCACUAGGGAGUGUACUUGAUGAGAUGAGCAAUAAGUGUUAUACUAUAUGUUGGCAAAUUGAACUUAAAUAAAAUAUUUUUUAAAAAGAAAAGAGUAAAAAAGGAGGAGGGGCGAAAAGGAGAAGAAGACGGAAAAGAAGGAAGAAGAAAAGAAGAUGAUGAUGAAGAAGAUGACGACAAUGAAGAAGACAAAGAUGAAGAAGAGGAAGAUGAAGACAAUGAAGGAGGAAGAAGAAGAAGAAGAAGAAGAAGAAGAAGAAGAAGAAGAAGAAGAAGAAGAAGAAGAAGAAGAAGAAGAAGGACGAGGAGGAGGAGGAGGAGGAGGAGGAGAGGAGGAGGAAGGGGAGGACUCUCUCUGCCAGAAGAGCAAGAGAUUUGGAAUGAAUGAGCUCAUCAGGAACUCUGAAAGGAGACAGCCCCACGUGGCUCCCAUCUGGCAACACAGAGUAGCUGCUGCCAAAUAGGAGUGGGACCAUGUCAGAUUUAAGAUGAGUGAUACCUGGAAUGGCCUGCCUUACAAGACAGAAGAGAACUGCAAUAGUUGUCAAGAGCAAGAACCCUGGAAUCUGACUCCACCAUGUCUUAACUUAAAAUCUCCAUGCUUCAAUUGUUUGAUGUGUAAAACAGUAGCAGUAGUAAUUACCUCAUAGGAUAUUGUGAGUAGCCCAUGAGUGAAGGCUAUUAAAAUACUUAGAACAGGAUCUGACAUAGAGUGUGUACUCUGUAGAUGUCAGGAUUAUUUAGUUUAGCUUUGACCUGGCAGCCCUCCAAAGAAUAUCCUCCAUCAAACUACGAUACUGAUUUCAAAAUUCAUUCAAGAGAGACACAUCAUAAGAAGCUAGAAAAUCAUUUUUUCUGGUUGCAAAUAUUAUGUCAGCAUGAUUAUCAAUAGGUUAAUUGAUACAUUUUACAUUUUUAUUUUUAUAUUUUAUAAUUAC
rnacentral:lncRNA from 1 species